GACGAACGCUGGCGGCGUGCUUAACACAUGCAAGUCGAACGGAAAGGCCCUUCGGGGUACUCGAGUGGCGAACGGGUGAGUAACACGUGGGUGAUCUGCCCUGCACUUUGGGAUAAGCCUGGGAAACUGGGUCUAAUACCGAAUAGGACCACGCGCUUCAUGGUGUGUGGUGGAAAGCUUUUGCGGUGUGGGAUGGGCCCGCGGCCUAUCAGCUUGUUGGUGGGGUAAUGGCCUACCAAGGCGACGACGGGUAGCCGGCCUGAGAGGGUGACCGGCCACACUGGGACUGAGAUACGGCCCAGACUCCUACGGUAGGCAGCAGUGGGGAAUAUUGCACAAUGGGCGCAAGCCUGAUGCAGCGACGCCGCGUGCGGGAUAACGGCCUUCGGGUUGUAAACCUCUUUCAAUAUGGCCGAAGCGCAAGUGACGGUACCUAUAGAAGAAGCACCGGCCAACUACGUG
rnacentral:rRNA from 1 species